rnacentral:rRNA from 1 species
GAUGAACGCUGGCGGCGUGCCUAAUACAUGCAAGUCGAGCGAAUGGAUUAAGAGCUUGCUCUUAUGAAGUUAGCGGCGGACGGGUGAGUAACACGUGGGUAACCUGCCCAUAAGACUGGGAUAACUCCGGGAAACCGGGGCUAAUACCGGAUAACAUUUUGAACCGCAUGGUUCGAAAUUGAAAGGCGGCUUCGGCUGUCACUUAUGGAUGGACCCGCGUUGCAUUAGCUAGUUGGUGAGGUAACGGCUCACCAAGGCAACGAUGCGUAGCCGACCUGAGAGGGUGAUCGGCCACACUGGGACUGGGCCACGGCCCAGACUCCGACGGGAGGCAGCAGUAGGGAAUCUUCCGCAAUGGACGAAAGUCUGACGGAGCAACGCCGCGUGAGUGAUGAAGGCUUUCGGGUCGUAAAACUCUGUUGUUAGGGAAGAACAAGUGCUAGUUGAAUAAGCUGGCACCUUGACGGUACCUAACCAGAAAGCCACGGCUAACUACGUGCCAGCCGCCGCAGUAA